rnacentral:rRNA from 1 species
UGCCAGCCGCCGCGGUAAGACGAAGGGCCCGAGCGUUGCGCGGAAUCAUUGGGCUUAAAGGGUGGCGCAGGCGGACCCGCCAGUGUCUUGUGAAAUCCCACUGCUCAACGGUGGAAUUGCUUGGCAUACUGCGGGUCUUGAGGUCGGUAGGGGCUGCCGGAACGAUAGGUGGAGCGGUGAAAUGCGUAGAUAUCUAUCGGAACGCCCAAGGCGAAGGCAGGCAGCUGGGCCGAUUCUGACGCUCAGGCACGAAAGCGUGGGGGCGAAGAGGAUUAGAUA